ACGGCUCAGUAACACGUGGACAACCUACCCUGAAGAGGGGGAUAACCCCGGGAAACUGGGGAUAAUACCCCAUGGACUAUGGAUGCUGGAAUGCUCUGUAGUUCAAAGGUCCGCCGCUUCAGGAUGGGUCUGCGGCCGAUUAGGUUGUUGUUGGGGUAACGGCCCAACAAGCCUGUAAUCGGUACGGGUUGUGGGAGCAAGAGCCCGGAGAUGGAUUCUGAGACACGAAUCCAGGCCCUACGGGGCGCAGCAGGCGCGAAAACUUUGCAAUGCGAGAAAUCGUGACAAGGGAACUCCGAGUGCCUGUAAAAUCAGGCUGUCCGCCAGUGUAAACAACUGGUGAAGAAAGGGCCGGGCAAGACCGGUGCCAGCCGCCGCGGUAAUACCGGCGGCUCGAGUGGUGGCCACUAUUACUGGGCUUAAAGCGUUCGUAGCUGGCUUGUUAAGUCUCUGGGGAAAUCUUCCGGCUUAACCGGAAGGCGUCUCAGGGAUACUGGCAGGCUAGGGACCGGAAGAGGUGAGAGGUACUCCGGGGGUAGGAGUGAAAUCCUGUAAUCCUUGGGGGACCACCUGUGGCGAAGGCGUCUCACCAGGACGGCUCCGACAGUGAGGAACGAAAGCUGGGGGAGCAAACCGGAUUAGAUACCCGGGUAGUCCCAGCUGUAAACGAUGCGCGUUAGGUGUAUCGGUGACCACGAGUCACCGAGGUGCCGAAGAGAAAUCGUGAAACGUGCCGCCUGGGAAGUACGGUCGCAAGGCUGAAACUUAAAGGAAUUGGCGGGGGAGCAC
rnacentral:rRNA from 1 species